rnacentral:rRNA from 1 species
GACGAACGCUGGCGGCGUGCUUAACACAUGCAAGUCGAACGAAGUGGCGAACGGGUGAGUAACGCGUAGGUAACUGCCUGGUAGCGGGGGAUAACUAUUGGAAACGAUAGCUAAUACCGCAUACUACCAUAUGGACCUGCGUUGUAUUAGCUAGUUGGUGGGGUAACGGCCCAAAAAGGCAACGAUACAUAGCCGACCUGAGGGGGUGAUCGGCCAAACUGGGACUGAGAAACGGCCCAGACUCCGACGGGAGGCAGCAGUAGGGAAUCUUCGGAAAUGGACGGAAGUCUGACCGAGCAACGCCGCGUGAGUGAAGAAGGUUUUCGGAUCGUAAAGCUCUGUUGUAAGAGAAGCGGUAUCUUACCAGAAAGGGACGGCUAACUACGUGCCAGCAGCCGCGGUAAUAC